rnacentral:rRNA from 1 species
UACGGAGGGUGCGAGCGUUGUCCGGAAUCACUGGGCGUAAAGGGCGCGUAGGCGGCCUGAUAAGUAGGGGGUGAAAUCCUGCGGCUUAACCGCAGGGCUGCCUUCUAAACUGUCAGGCUCGAGCACAGUAGAGGCAGGUGGAAUUCCCGGUGUAGCGGUGGAAUGCGUUGAUAUCCUAAGGAACACCGGUGGCGAAAGCGGCUCACUGGAUCUCUUCUGACGCUGAGGCACGAAAGCUAGGGUAGCGAACGGG